rfam:Lactobacillus oligofermentans DSM 15707 = LMG 22743 strain DSM 15707 NODE_4, whole genome shotgun sequence.
GGGGAAGUACUCAAGUGGCUGAAGAGGCGCCCCUGCUAAGGGUGUAGAUGGGUCAAACCGUGCGAGAGUUCGAAUCUCUCCUUCUCCG